GGAGAGGGGAGUGAAAUAGAACCUGAAACCGCAUACGUACAAGCAGUGGGAGCCCUUUUAGGGUGACUGCGUACCUUUUGUAUAAUGGGUCAGCGACUUACUUUCAGUGGCAAGCUUAAGCGUUUAGCGUAGGCGUAGGGAAACCGAGUCUUAAUAGGGCGUCCAGUCGCUGGUAGUAGACCCGAAACCGAGCGAUCUAUCCAUGGCCAGGUUGAAGGUGGGGUAACACCUACUGGAGGACCGAACCCACGUAUGUUGAAAAAUGCGGGGAUGAGCUGUGGAUCGGAGUGAAAGGCUAAUCAAGCUCGGAGAUAGCUGGUUCUCCUCGAAAUCUAUUUAGGUAGAGCCUCUAGUAUUACUCGCGGGGGUAGAGCACUGUUAUGGCUAGGGGGGCCUGACCGCCUUACCAACCCAUUGCAAACUCCGAAUACCGCGAAGUAUCAGCUAGGGAGACACACUAUGGGUGCUAACGUCCAUAGUGGAAAGGGAAACAACCCAGACCGCCAGCUAAGGUCCCAAAGUUACAGCUCAGUGGGAAACGAUGUGGGAAGGCAUAGACAGCUAGGAGGUUGGCUUAGAAGCAGCCAUCCUUUAAAGAAAGCGUAAUAGCUCACUAGUCGAGUCGGCCUGCGCGGAAGAUUUAACGGGGCUCAAGCUGUACACCGAAGCUGCGGAAUCGGACUUGUCCGAUUGGUAGAGGAGCGUUCUGUAAGCCUGUGAAGGUGAAUCGUAAGGUUUGCUGGAGGUAUCAGAAGUGCGAAUGCUGACAUAAGUAACGAUAAGACGGGUGAAAAACCCGUCCGCCGAAAAUCCAAGGUUUCCUGCGCAACGUUAAUCGGCGCAGGGUUAGUCGGCCCCUAAGGCGAGGCAGAGAUGCGUAGUCGAUGGGAAACAGGUUAAUAUUCCUGUACCACUAAUAAAUGCGAUGGGGUGACGGAGAAGGCUAGGCUAGAACACAGUUGGUGUGUAUCUAAGCGUUUAGGCAGAGAACUUAGGCAAAUCCGGGUUCUUAAUGCUGAGGCGUGAUGGCGAUUGUUCCACGGAACGAGAGUAGUCGAUGCCAUACUUCCAGGAAAAACCUCUAAGCUUCAGUUUAUUAGUGACCGUACUCUAAACGGACACACGUGGAUAGGAUGAGAAUUCCAAGGCGCUUGAGAGAACUUAGGUGAAGGAACUAGGCAAAAUAGCACCGUAACUUCGGGAGAAGGUGCGCCCCUGACGGUUCAUAGCUGUUGGGGGCCGCAGAGACCAGGUGGCUGCGACUGUUUAGCAAAAACACAGCACUCUGCUAACGCGAAAGCGGACGUAUAGGGUGUGACGCCUGCCCGGUGCCGGAAGGUUAAUUGAUGGGGUUAGCUUAUGCGAAGCUCUUGAUCGAAGCCCCGGUAAACGGCGGCCGUAACUAUAACGGUCCUAAGGUAGCGAAAUUCCUUGUCGGGUAAGUUCCGACCUGCACGAAUGGCGUAACGACGGCCACACUGUCUCCACCUAAGACUCAGUGAAAUUGAAUUCGCAGUUAAGAUGCUGCGUACCCGCGGCUAGACGGAAAGACCCCGUGCACCUUUACUACAGCUUUGCACUGAACAUUGGGCCUACUUGUGUAGGAUAGCUGGGAGGCUUUGAAACCGGGACGCUAGUCUCGGUGGAGCCAAUCUUGAAAUACCAGCCUGGUAGUUCUGAUGUUCUAACCAUGGCCCCUUAUCGGGGUUUGGGACAGUGUAUGGUGGGUAGUUUGACUGGGGCGGUCUCCUCCUAA
rnacentral:rRNA from 1 species